rnacentral:lncRNA from 1 species
CUCGUGUGAUAUUGCUCAUUUAUAUCUAUUGAAAUGAAUUAAAUUCAUGCUGAAUUUCAUUUAAUUAAAAUUUAAAUUAUUUCUUAAGUAAUCGAAACUUUAAAUAUUUAUUUUAUUUUCAUUUAAAAUAUGUGUAUUUCAUUGUUAGAUCCACUCAAUUAUAUUCCAUUUAUCGCAAGCAUGAUGUAACAAUGAGGCGUGACUUCAAAAUCUCUAGUUUGUCAAGUAGCCUACAGUAUAUUGAACAGAGAAUCAGAGUACACUUCACAGAGGAAAUUUUAAAUAGCAAUGUUUCUCCUUCUAUGCAUGCCACUGCUUUUUCUCAAAGUUAUUAAUUUGUAAUAUUACGAUAGUGUUUGUAUGAUUUUCCUCUGAUGUAGAUUUCUAUGGGAUGACAAAUCUGAACUAUCUUUGUAUUUCCAGCAGAUUUCAGUGAUGGCGUUCUGAUCACUCAAUGAAGUACAUAUCUAGUCGUCCAGGCUCUUCUGUGGAAAUGAACUGUUACCAGAAUCAUACAGACUAUGACCACAAAUAAAAUGCUGCUAGUUUACACAGUGAAUAAAUGACAAUAAGCUACAAGACAAAAAUUGAUAUAAAUAAAUUAACCCAUAUCGUUACAGACAAGUCAGCAGAACAAGAGAACCUGCACAUACAGAUUUCAUUAAUGACGAUACACUCCUCCCUUCCACCAAAAAAACCUUCCCAUCAAGGUUUUGUUGAUGUGGUACAGUCAGUAGGGCAUAGUAGUUUUCCCUCUCUUUUCAUUAGUACAGUAUUACACACUCUCUCUUGUGACAUUAUUUUUGCUGUGUGCAUGACCAGAGUAUUGCUUAGCCUGUUUAAGAAGGAUGUUUGAAGCUGCAUAUGGACUGUGCAUAUUUUUCUUUCUGUAUUAUGGGAUGGUGAGAUGUGUGAAUGUUCAACAAAACAUGACUCCCUUAUUAUUCAGGGAGAACAAAACGGCAGAGUUAAUGUGUAAUUAUGAUGACAGUGGCAAGCCAAAUAUGUUAUGGUAUCAGCAGAAGAAUACAGCCAUGGCCUUAAUCGUGUUAAGUUAUGGUGCUGAUAGUGAGCCCACCUAUGAGGAUGGGUUUAAAGAACGGUUUAAAUUGGAAAGAAAAAACACUUUGAACGGAGUUCUGAAAAUCCCUGAUCUCAGUCUAUCAGACUCUGCUGUUUAUUUCUGUGCUGUCAGUAUGCACAGUGUUGUCGUCUUUAUUAACUGCCUGACUAAAACCCAAGCCACCAGACAUACAGGAAAUAUACACACAAAAAAAUCUAACGUUUGUGAGAUUCAACUGAG